AAAUUGAAGAGUUUGAUCAUGGCUCAGAUUGAACGCUGGCGGCAGGCCUAACACAUGCAAGUCGAACGGUAACAGGAAGCGCUUGCUGUUUCGCUGACGAGUGGCGGACGGGUGAGUAAUGUCUGGGAAACUGCCUGAUGGAGGGGGAUAACUACUGGAAACGGUAGCUAAUACCGCAUAACGUCGCAAGACCAAAGAGGGGGACCUUCGGGCCUCUUGCCAUCGGAUGUGCCCAGAUGGGAUUAGCUUGUUGGUGGGGUAACGGCUCACCAAGGCGACGAUCCCUAGCUGGUCUGAGAGGAUGACCAGCCACACUGGAACUGAGACACGGUC
rnacentral:rRNA from 1 species